rnacentral:sRNA from 1 species
UUAAUCAAAGUAGAAGGGAUGAUGGGUGGCCGAUGAUUAACUAAUCUUAUUUCAAACAUUUGAAAAUCAUUUUUCAAAUUCAAGAAAAGGAUUAGUCUGCCCAUUUUCCAUAUGUAAUUUAAAGCUAUUCAUUCGAUAGCUUAUUUUCAUUAUGAAAAAAGCAACUAAUCCUUCCAAAUUUAUUUGGGAGGAUUUUUUU